GAUGAACGCUAGCGGGAGGCCUAACACAUGCAAGCCGAGCGGUAGAGAUCUUUCGGGAUCUUGAGAGCGGCGUACGGGUGCGGAACACGUGUGCAACCUGCCUUUAUCAGGGGGAUAGCCUUUCGAAAGGAAGAUUAAUACCCCAUAAUAUAUUGAAUGGCAUCAUUUGAUAUUGAAAACUCCGGUGGAUAGAGAUGGGCACGCGCAAGAUUAGAUAGUUGGUAGGGUAACGGCCUACCAAGUCAGUGAUCUUUAGGGGGCCUGAGAGGGUGAUCCCCCACACUGGUACUGAGACACGGACCAGACUCCUACGGGAGGCAGCAGUGAGGAAUAUUGGACAAUGGGUGAGAGCCUGAUCCAGCCAUCCCGCGUGAAGGACGACGGCCCUAUGGGUUGUAAACUUCUUUUGUAUAGGGAUAAACCUUUCCACGUGUGGAAAGCUGAAGGUACUAUACGAAUAAGCACCGGCUAACUCCGUGCCAGCAGCCGCGGUAAUACGGAGGGUGCAAGCGUUAUCCGGAUUUAUUGGGUUUAAAGGGUCCGUAGGCGGAUCUGUAAGUCAGUGGUGAAAUCUCAUAGCUUAACUAUGAAACUGCCAUUGAUACUGCAGGUCUUGAGUAAAGUAGAAGUGGCUGGAAUAAGUAGUGUAGCGGUGAAAUGCAUAGAUAUUACUUAGAACACCAAUUGCGAAGGCAGGUCACUAUGUUUUAACUGACGCUGAUGGACGAAAGCGUGGGGAGCGAACAGGAUUAGAUACCCUGGUAGUCCACGCCGUAAACGAUGCUAACUCGUUUUUGGGUUUUCGGAUUCAGAGACUAAGCGAAAGUGAUAAGUUAGCCACCUGGGGAGUACGUUCGCAAGAAUGAAACUCAAAGGAAUUGACGGGGGCCCGCACAAGCGGUGGAUUAUGUGGUUUAAUUCGAUGAUACGCGAGGAACCUUACCAAGGCUUAAAUGGGAAUUGACAGGUUUAGAAAUAGACUUUUCUUCGGACAAUUUUCAAGGUGCUGCAUGGUUGUCGUCAGCUCGUGCCGUGAGGUGUUAGGUUAAGUCCUGCAACGAGCGCAACCCCUGUCACUAGUUGCCAUCAUUCAGUUGGGGACUCUAGUGAGACUGCCUACGCAAGUAGAGAGGAAGGUGGGGAUGACGUCAAAUCAUCACGGCCCUUACGCCUUGGGCCACACACGUAAUACAAUGGCCGGUACAGAGGGCAGCUACCUAGCGAUAGGACGCGAAUCUCGAAAGCCGGUCUCAGUUCGGAUUGGAGUCUGCAACUCGACUCUAUGAAGCUGGAAUCGCUAGUAAUCGCAUAUCAGCCAUGAUGCGGUGAAUACGUUCCCGGGCCU
rnacentral:rRNA from 1 species